rnacentral:rRNA from 2 species
CCACCUGAUCCCAUCCCGAACUCAGAAGUGAAACGCAAUCGCGCCGAUGGUAGUGUGGGGUCUCCCCAUGUGAGAGUAGGUCAUCGCCAGAC